rnacentral:rRNA from 1 species
UACAGGGGGGGCAAGCGUUGUUCGGAAUUACUGGGCGUAAAGCGUGUGUAGGCGGCCUGACAAGUCUGAUGUGAAAUCCCUGGGCUCAACCCAGGGCCUGCAUCGGAAACUGUCGGGCUUGAGUAUGGGAGAGGUGAGUGGAAUUUCCGGUGUAGCGGUGAAAUGCGUAGAUAUCGGAAGGAACACCUGUGGCGAAAGCGGCUCACUGGACCAUUACUGACGCUGAGGCACGAAAGCUAGGGGAGCAAACAGG